UACGGAGGGGGCGAGCGUUGUUCGGAAUCACUGGGUGUAAAGGGUGCGUAGGCGGUCCGAUAAGUCUGAUGUGAAAGCCCCGGGCUCAACCUGGGAACUGCGGUUGAAACUGGCGAACUAGAAUCUGGCAGAGGGGGGUGGAAUUCCACGUGUAGCAGUGAAAUGCGUAGAGAUGUGGAGGAACACCGAUGGCGAAGGCAGCCCCCUGGGCUGAGAUUGACGCUCAGGCACGAAAGCGUGGGGAGCAAACAGG
rnacentral:rRNA from 1 species